UACGGGGGGGGCAAGCGUUGUUCGGAAUUACUGGGCGUAAAGGGCUCGUAGGUGGCCAACUAAGUCGGACGUGAAAUCCCUCGGCUUAACCGGGGAACUGCGUCCGAUACUGGUUGGCUUGAGUUUGGGAGAGGGAUGCGGAAUUCCAGGUGUAGCGGUGAAAUGCGUAGAUAUCUGGAGGAACACCGGUGGCGAAGGCGGCGUUCUGGACUGUUUCUGACACUGAAUAACGAAAGCCAGGGGAGCAAACGGG
rnacentral:rRNA from 1 species